AGAAGUGAAACGUUCAUAUAAAUGAGCAUUCAGACGCCAUAGUAACACGGUUUACUUAUACAUUACUUAAAUAAAAAAGAAAGUCAGACCAGUUCGGAACAACGUGACGGAUUUGGACCAUCAGCGGACAUGCCUGGAGGAGGAAAGUAGCUGUCUGCGAGCCAAGAUCCAGGAGCUGAAAACUGACAUUAGACCCCUCACAUAAGUGAUCCAUCGCACUCAACACAUGCUCGGCCUGGAUGUGAGUCACAUGCCUAUAUUCCCUUGCCUCGUUCUCUCGUUCACUCACUCG